AAGAUACUAGUAAAACAGCUAUUACACUACCUUGUCAAGGCAAAAUUGCAAGUUAAACCCUUGCGUAUCUUA
rnacentral:tRNA from 1 species